rnacentral:rRNA from 1 species
CGAGUGAAGCUGGAAUAGUCCGAACUUUAAAAGAGUUAGAUCUCUGAUGUAGUUCUAAGAUCUAUUGGUACCGGGCUGCCUACCAUCUAAGUUGACACGGACUUGUCCGACAGAGAGGGUGAAAUUCCCGUCUAGAUGUGUUAGAAAGUUCUCAUACUGAUUGAUCUGAGAGUCGAGUUGCUUGGGAUUGCAGCUUUAAGGUGGAGGUAAAUUCCUUCAAAGACUAAAUACCGUUGGAUGACGAUAGCGAACAAGUACCGUGAGGGAAAGUUGAAAAGAACUCCGGAAGGAGGAUCAAAAGAGCGUGAAAUUGUACAGAGGGAAACGCUUGGACGCUCCGUAUACCCAGUUGUUAGUCUCUCAAGUUUUUUACUGGGAUCAAGAUUACAUCUGGAGUAGCCAAUCGCUAUUAGAUUUAAUGCGUGUUGUGAGUUGGAUCUAUCAUGGUUUAAUGAGUUUAUUGUUUGCGCAAGCUUCUUUACACCGCCAUGGGCAGUUAGUUCCCACGUAUAAGUCGGCAGUAAAGUUUUGUUAUAAGUCUUUAGGAGGUCGAAAGUUGUAAGCUGCGGUACGAUUUUGUAAAUUUUUGUAUUUAGCUACCUUCUAAUGAAGACCUGAGUCUCCGAUAAAGCAUCUUAACUAUAAUAUGGCUGAGCAGCGGUCAAGCGACCCGUCUUGAAACACGGACCAAGGAGUCUAACAUGUUAGCAAGUCUUAGGGCCUAGUAACCCCUCUGGCGAAAUGAAAGUGAUUAGAGAUCCGAUUCCGACUCGAUUGGAAGCAGGAUUAGCCAAACUCAUAAACAAUAGUUGUUGAGUUUGCGCAAGAGCAAAUAUGUUGGGACCCGAAAGAUGGUGAACUAUGCCUGAAUAGGGUGAAGUCAGGGGAAACCCUGAUGGAAGCUCGUAGCGAUUCUGACGUGCAAAUCGAUCGUCAAAUUUGGGUAUAGGGGCGAAAGACUAAUCGA